AACGAACGCUGGCGGCAUGCCUAACACAUACAAGUCGAACGAGACCUUCGGGUCUAGUGGCGCACGGGUGCGUAACGCGUGGGAAUCUGCCCUUGGGUUCGGAAUAACAGUUAGAAAUGACUGCUAAUACCGGAUGAUGACGUAAGUCCAAAGAUUUAUCGCCCAAGGAUGAGCCCGCGUAGGAUUAGCUAGUUGGUAAGGUAAAGGCUUACCAAGGCGACGAUCCUUAGCUGGUCUGAGAGGAUGAUCAGCCACACUGGGACUGAGACACGGCCCAGCCUCCUGCGGGAGGAAGCAGUGGGGAAUAUUGGACAAUGGGCGAAAGCCUGAUCCAGCAAUGCCGCGUGAGUGAUGAAGGCCUUAGGGUUGUAAAGCUCUUUUACCAGGGAUGAUAAUGACAGUACCUGGAGAAUAAGCUCCGGCUAACUCCGUGCCAGCAGCCGCCGUAA
rnacentral:rRNA from 1 species